rnacentral:rRNA from 1 species
UACGGAGGGAGCUAGCGUUGUUCGGAAUUACUGGGCGUAAAGCGCGCGUAGGCGGCUUUGUAAGUUAGAGGUGAAAGCCCGGAGCUCAACUCCGGAACUGCCUUUAAAACUGCAUCGCUUGAAUCCAGGAGAGGUGAGUGGAAUUCCGAGUGUAGAGGUGAAAUUCGUAGAUAUUCGGAAGAACACCAGUGGCGAAGGCGGCUCACUGGACUGGUAUUGACGCUGAGGCGCGAAAGCCAGGGGAGCAAACGGGG